AUUUUUAACUGGAUAAUUUGUUUUUGGGCUUUGAGUUUUAUAAAUUCUUCAUAUAUUUUGGAUACUAACCUUUUAUCACGUAUGUCACUUGCAAAUACCCUCUCGCAUUCUGUAGGUUGCCACUUAGUUUUGUUGGCUAUGCAGAAGCUUUUUAAUUUGAUGUAGU